UACGUAGGGUGCAGGCGUUAAUCGGAAUUACUGGGCGUAAAGCGUGCGCAGGCGGCUUCCUAAGUCAGAUGUGAAAUCCCCGGGCUCAACCUGGGAACUGCGUUUGAAACUGGGAGGCUAGAGUGCGGCAGAGGGGGAUGGAAUUCCGCGUGUAGCAGUGAAAUGCGUAGAUAUGCGGAGGAACACCGAUGGCGAAGGCAAUCCCCUGGGCCUGCACUGACGCUCAUGCACGAAAGCGUGGGGAGCAAACAGG
rnacentral:rRNA from 1 species